rnacentral:rRNA from 1 species
UGUCGGGAGUUAAGAAAUGUAAGGAUGUUAAUAGCAUCUUUGCUUGACUAAGGCUCCGGAGGAAGCCACGGCUAACUCUGUGCCAGCAGCCGCGGUAAUACAGAGGCGGCAAGCGUUGUUCGGAAUUAUUGGGCGUAAAGAGCACGUAGGCGGCUAUGUAAGUCGGUUGUGAAAGCCUUCCGCUCAACGGGAGAACAGCAUCCGAUACUGCAUGGCUUGAGUGCGGGAGGGGAGAGUGGAACUUCUGGU